rnacentral:rRNA from 1 species
UACAGAGGGGGCAAGCGUUAUUCGGAAUUACUGGGCGUAAAGGGCUCGUAGGUGGCCAACUAAGUCAGACGUGAAAUCCCUCGGCUUAACCGGGGAACUGCGUCUGAUACUGGAUGGCUUGAGGUUGGGAGAGGGAUGCGGAAUUCCAGGUGUAGCGGUGAAAUGCGUAGAUAUCUGGAGGAACACCGGUGGCGAAGGCGGCAUCCUGGACCAAUUCUGACGCUGAGGAGCGAAAGCCAGGGGAGCAAACGGG